AGAGUUUGAUCCUGGCUCAGGACGAACGCUGGCGGCGUGCCUAAUACAUGCAAGUCGAGCGAAGUUUGAGUUGAAGCUUGCUUUAACUUAAGCUUAGCGGCGGACGGGUGAGUAACACGUAGGCAACCUGCCCGUAAGACCGGGAUAACUAGCGGAAACGUUAGCUAAGACCGGAUAGAGCGAAGCCCUCGCCUGAGGGA
rnacentral:rRNA from 1 species